GAUGAACGCUGGCGGCGUGCCUAAUACAUGCAAGUCGAGCGAACAGACGAGGAGCUUGCUCCUCUGACGUUAGCGGCGGACGGGUGAGUAACACGUGGAUAACCUACCUAUAAGACUGGGAUAACUUCGGGAAACCGGAGCUAAUACCGGAUAAUAUAUUGAACCGCAUGGUUCAAUAGUGAAAGACGGUUUUGCUGUCACUUAUAGAUGGAUCCGCGCCGCAUUAGCUAGUUGGUAAGGUAACGGCUUACCAAGGCAACGAUGCGUAGCCGACCUGAGAGGGUGAUCGGCCACACUGGAACUGAGACACGGUCCAGACUCCUACGGGAGGCAGCAGUAGGGAAUCUUCCGCAAUGGGCGAAAGCCUGACGGAGCAACGCCGCGUGAGUGAUGAAGGUCUUCGGAACGUAAAACUCUGUUAUUAGGGAAGAACAAAUGUGUAAGUAACUAUGCACGUCUUGACGGUACCUAAUCAGAAAGCCACGGCUAACUACGUG
rnacentral:rRNA from 1 species